rnacentral:rRNA from 1 species
UACAGAGGAGCCAAGCGUUGUCCGGAUUGACUGGGCGUAAAGCGCACGCAGGCGGGUGCGCGCGUGGGGUGUGAAACCGGGUGGCUUAACCGCCCGCCGCCAUCCCAUACGGCGCGCCUGGAGCCAUCCAGAGGUCGGUGGAAUUGCCGGUGUAGUGGUGAAAUGCGCAGAUAUCAGGAGGAACACCGGUGGCGAAGGCGGGUCUCUGGGCCGUAACUGACGCUGAGGAGCGAAAGCAUGGGGAGCGAACAGG